rnacentral:rRNA from 1 species
GGAUAAGCCUGGGAAACUGGGUCUAAUACCGGAUAUGACCUCAGGUUGCAUGACUUGGGGUGGAAAGAUUUAUCGGUGCAGGAUGGGCCCGCGGCCUAUCAGCUUGUUGGUGGGGUAAUGGCCUACCAAGGCGACGACGGGUAGCCGACCUGAGAGGGUGACCGGCCACACUGGGACUGAGACACGGCCCAGACUCCUACGGGAGGCAGCAGUGGGGAAUAUUGCACAAUGGGCGAAAGCCUGAUGCAGCGACGCCGCGUGAGGGAUGACGGCCUUCGGGUUGUAAACCUCUUUCAGCAGGGACGAAGCGCAAGUGACGGUACCUGCAGAAGAAGCACCGGCUAACUACGUGCCAGCAGCCGCGGUAAUACGUAGGGUGCAAGCGUUGUCCGGAAUUACUGGGCGUAAAGAGUUCGUAGGCGGUUUGUCGCGUCGUUUGUGAAAACCAGCAGCUCAACUGCUGGCUUGCAGGCGAUACGGGCAGACUUGAGUACUGCAGGGGAGACUGGAAUUCCUGGUGUA